rnacentral:rRNA from 1 species
UUAAGCGACUAAGCGUACACGGUGGAUGCCCUGGCAGUCAGAGGCGAUGAAGGGCGUGCUAAUCUGCGAUAAGCGCCGGUAAGGUGAUAUGAACCGUUAUAACCGGCGAUACCCGAAUGGGGAAACCCAGUGUGAUUCGUCACACUAUCAUUAACUGAAUCCAUAGGUUAAUGAGGCGAACCGGGGGAACUGAAACAUCUAAGUACCCCGAGGAAAAGAAAUCAACCGAGAUUCCCCCAGUAGCGGCGAGCGAACGGGGAGGAGCCCAGAGCCUGAAUCAGCAUGUGUGUUAGUGGAAGCGUCUGGAAAGGCGCGCGAUACAGGGUGACAGCCCCGUACACAAAAGCGCAUGUGUUGUGAGCUCGAUGAGUAGGGCGGGACACGUGGUAUCCUGUCUGAAUAUGGGGGGACCAUCCUCCAAGGCUAAAUACUCCUGACUGACCGAUAGUGAACCAGUACCGUGAGGGAAAGGCGAAAAGAACCCCGGCGAGGGGAGUGAAAAAGAACCUGAAACCGUGUACGUACAAGCAGUGGGAGCACAGGUUUACCUGUGUGACUGCGUACCUUUUGUAUAAUGGGUCAGCGACUUAUAUUCUGUAGCAAGGUUAACCGUAUAGGGGAGCCGGAGGGAAACCGAGUCUUAAUUGGGCGUUAAGUUGCAGGGUAUAGACCCGAAACCCGGUGAUCUAGCCAUGGGCAGGUUGAAGGUUGGGUAACACUAACUGGAGGACCGAACCGACUAAUGUUGAAAAAUUAGCGGAUGACCUGUGGCUGGGGGUGAAAGGCCAAUCAAACCGGGAGAUAGCUGGUUCUCCCCGAAAGCUAUUUAGGUAGCGCCUCGUGAAUUCAUCUCCGGGGGUAGAGCACUGUUUCGGCUAGGGGGCCAUCCCGGCUUACCAACCCGAUGCAAACUGCGAAUACCGGAGAAUGUUAUCACGGGAGACACACGGCGGGUGCUAACGUCCGUCGUGAAGAGGGAAACAACCCAGACCGCCAGCUAAGGUCCCAAAGUCAUGGUUAAGUGGGAAACGAUGUGGGAAGGCCCAGACAGCCAGGAUGUUGGCUUAGAAGCAGCCAUCAUUUAAAGAAAGCGUAAUAGCUCACUGGUCGAGUCGGCCUGCGCGGAAGAUGUAACGGGGCUAAACCAUGCACCGAAGCUGCGGCAGCGACGCUUAUGCGUUGUUGGGUAGGGGAGCGUUCUGUAAGCCUGUGAAGGUGGCCUGUGAGGCAUGCUGGAGGUAUCAGAAGUGCGAAUGCUGACAUAAGUAACGAUAAAGCGGGUGAAAAGCCCGCUCGCCGGAAGACCAAGGGUUCCUGUCCAACGUUAAUCGGGGCAGGGUGAGUCGACCCCUAAGGCGAGGCCGAAAGGCGUAGUCGAUGGGAAACGGGUUAAUAUUCCCGUACUUGGUGUUACUGCGAAGGGGGGACGGAGAAGGCUAUGUUGGCCGGGCGACGGUUGUCCCGGUUUAAGCGUGUAGGUGUGUGUUCCAGGUAAAUCCGGUUCACUUUAACACUGAGGCGUGACGACGAGGCACUACGGUGCUGAAGCAACAAAUGCCCUGCUUCCAGGAAAAGCCUCUAAGCAUCAGGUAACAUCAAAUCGUACCCCAAACCGACACAGGUGGUCAGGUAGAGAAUACCAAGGCGCUUGAGAGAACUCGGGUGAAGGAACUAGGCAAAAUGGUGCCGUAACUUCGGGAGAAGGCACGCUGACACGUAGGUGAAGUGAUUUACUCAUGGAGCUGAAGUCAGUCGAAGAUACCAGCUGGCUGCAACUGUUUAUUAAAAACACAGCACUGUGCAAACACGAAAGUGGACGUAUACGGUGUGACGCCUGCCCGGUGCCGGAAGGUUAAUUGAUGGGGUCAGCGCAAGCGAAGCUCCUGAUCGAAGCCCCGGUAAACGGCGGCCGUAACUAUAACGGUCCUAAGGUAGCGAAAUUCCUUGUCGGGUAAGUUCCGACCUGCACGAAUGGCGUAAUGAUGGCCAGGCUGUCUCCACCCGAGACUCAGUGAAAUUGAACUCGCUGUGAAGAUGCAGUGUACCCGCGGCAAGACGGAAAGACCCCGUGAACCUUUACUAUAGCUUGACACUGAACAUUGAGCCUUGAUGUGUAGGAUAGGUGGGAGGCUUUGAAGUGUGGACGCCAGUCUGCAUGGAGCCGACCUUGAAAUACCACCCUUUAAUGUUUGAUGUUCUAACGUGGACCCGUAAUCCGGGUUGCGGACAGUGUCUGGUGGGUAGUUUGACUGGGGCGGUCUCCUCCUAAAGAGUAACGGAGGAGCACGAAGGUUGGCUAAUCCUGGUCGGACAUCAGGAGGUUAGUGCAAUGGCAUAAGCCAGCUUGACUGCGAGCGUGACGGCGCGAGCAGGUGCGAAAGCAGGUCAUAGUGAUCCGGUGGUUCUGAAUGGAAGGGCCAUCGCUCAACGGAUAAAAGGUACUCCGGGGAUAACAGGCUGAUACCGCCCAAGAGUUCAUAUCGACGGCGGUGUUUGGCACCUCGAUGUCGGCUCAUCACAUCCUGGGGCUGAAGUAGGUCCCAAGGGUAUGGCUGUUCGCCAUUUAAAGUGGUACGCGAGCUGGGUUUAGAACGUCGUGAGACAGUUCGGUCCCUAUCUGCCGUGGGCGCUGGAGAACUGAGGGGGGCUGCUCCUAGUACGAGAGGACCGGAGUGGACGCAUCACUGGUGUUCGGGUUGUCAUGCCAAUGGCACUGCCCGGUAGCUAAAUGCGGAAGAGAUAAGUGCUGAAAGCAUCUAAGCACGAAACUUGCCCCGAGAUGAGUUCUCCCUGAGACUUAGAGUCUCCUGAAGGAACGUUGAAGACGACGACGUUGAUAGGCCGGGUGUGUAAGCGCAGCGAUGCGUUGAGCUAACCGGUACUAAUGAACCGUGAGGCUUAACCUU